GGGCUUGAGCUCGUUUCGAACUCGACCAUCGCAAAAUUUCACAUCACAAUAAAAGGCGAGGUAGACUCGAAAAAUUAGGUCAAAAAGUAGGAAGAGAAACGCGAUAGCCCCUCGCCUCGCCGCCGCCGCCGCGCACCGCACCUGCCCUUCCGCCGGCGAAUCCGCGCGUGCCCUAGCCGGAGACCAGGUAUUGGCCCAGAUCUGCCGGCAGCGAUGUCGGGAACCGCGGCCCCACGGUACGCGCCGGACGACCCUACGGUGCCGAAGCCGUGGCGCGGGCUGGUGGACGGCACCACCGGCUACCUCUACUACUGGAAUCCGGAUACCAACGUCACCCAGUACGAGAAGCCCGUGCCGCCGGAAGCUCAGCUCCCGCCGCCCCCGCCUCUCCCGCCUCCUCCUCCGCGCGCCCGCGGCCGGGACCGUCGAGACCGUUCCCGAUCUCGCUCCCGCUCCCGUUCUCGCACACCGCCUCGGCGUGAACACCGGGACCACGACCGCGACCGCGACAGGCGCCGUCACGACGAGCACGACUCUUUCAAGUCGUCGUCGUCCCAUCACCAUCUUCCUCCGGCUGCCACCAUCAUCCCUACAGCCGCAGCUGAUGAUCCAUCAGCUGAAGCAUACCGCCGUCGCCAUGAGAUCACAGUCAUCGGGGAUAACGUGCCGGCUCCCAUAACUGAGUUUGACUCUGGUGUCAUCCCGCUUGAUAUACUCAAGGAGAUACAACGCGCCGGAUUCCCAAGUCCAACGCCUAUCCAAGCCCAGUCCUGGCCAAUUGCCUUGCUCAAUCAAGACGUUGUAGCUAUUGCCAAGACAGGAUCUGGAAAAACUCUCGGGUAUUUGCUUCCUGGGUUUAUGCAUAUAAAGCGUAUGCAGAACAGCACAAGGUCUGGCCCAACAGUGUUAGUUUUGGCACCUACCAGAGAGCUCGCAACACAGAUUUUGGACGAAGCUGUGAAAUUUGGCAGAUCAUCAAGAAUUUCUUCUACGUGCCUUUAUGGCGGUGCUCCUAAAGGGCCCCAGUUAAGAGAUUUAGAAAGAGGGGUUGAUGUUGUUGUUGCAACACCUGGAAGGUUGAACGACAUUCUAGAAAUGCGGAAAAUAAGCCUAAAGCAGGUCUCGUACCUUGUUCUAGACGAGGCUGACCGCAUGCUAGAUAUGGGGUUUGAACCACAAAUACGAAAAAUAGUAAGAGACAUACCUUCUGGUCGGCAAACUCUUAUGUACACUGCUACUUGGCCCAAGGAAGUCCGAAGAAUUGCAGAUGAGCUUCUUGUUCACCCUGUCCAGGUGACCAUUGGAAGUGUGGAUGAGCUUGUUGCUAAUAAAGCUAUUACUCAGCAUGUGGAGGUGGUCACUCCCUCAGAAAAGCUUCGGCGUCUGGAGCAAAUAUUGCGAUCCCAUGAUUCAGGUUCCAAGAUACUAAUAUUCUGUACCACCAAGAGAAUGUGCGACCAACUAUCAAGGACACUCAAUAGGCAAUUUGGAGCGGCUGCCAUUCAUGGUGACAAGUCUCAGAAUGAAAGAGAGAAGGUCCUGAGUCAAUUUAGAUCUGGACGAUCUCCUAUUUUGGUAGCUACAGAUGUUGCGGCACGAGGUUUAGACAUCAAAGAUAUCAGGGUUGUGAUCAACUAUGACUUCCCCACUGGUGUUGAGGACUAUGUUCACAGGAUUGGCAGGACAGGAAGGGCUGGUGCCACUGGUUUGGCCUAUACAUUUUUGUGUGAUCAGGAUUCAAAAUAUGCUGCCGACCUAAUUAAAAUCCUGGAAGGGGCAGACCAAGAUGUUCCUCCUGAACUGUUAGACAUGGUCUCUCGGGGUGGGCGUGGUAGGAAACGUAACAAAUGGGCAACCCGCUCUGAGAGGGGUGGUGGUUCACGCUCUGAACUGGAUUCAAGGUAUGGUGGCAGGUUAGAGGGUAGUCGCGGUGGACGUGGAAAGGAUGAUUAUGGUGGCCGUGGCAGGAAUGAUUACGGCGGGUCUCGCAGGUCUGCUAGAGGUCGCAGCAGAAGCCUUAGCAGGAGUGACAGUGAUAGGCGCAGCCCAAGCCCCAAGAGACGGCGCCAUGAUGUGCAGGCUAGCCGUAGCAGGACUAGAAGUCGGAGCCGGAGCAGGAGCCGGAGCAGGAGCAGAAACAAGAGCAGGAACAGGAGCCGGAGCAGGAGUUACACUAGGAAUCGUCGUGCUAGCCGCAGCAGGAGUCGUAGCCCUGGCGCUAGACGUAAGACUGAAAGAAGAGCUGGCUCUGGGUCUACACGUCCUGACUCUGCCCACCCAGUGGAGAAGAAAAGCUCACCCAAUGCUCACCCUUCAAAUGACCACAAGAGCCGCAGUGUCGACCCUUCAAAUGACUAUCAGGCGGAGGAUGGGAAGAUGGGAAAGGUUGAUCUGGAUCGGUCGCCUAGUCUGCAGGAGCAGGAUGACAAGUCUGCUCCAUAUAGUCCUGUGUAUAAUGGCGAAGGAGGCAGGGGGUCAAUGAGCCCUAAUGGCGAGCCAGUGGUGGAUGCUAAACCUGUGGAAGUCUUUGUGAGCAGCAAGAAGAGGGAGGAUGAAGAGGAAGGUAUGAUAGAUGAAGAGGGAGAGGAGGGUAUGAUAGCCGAUGAUGACCCUCGCGCAAUUGCAGCUGUGCAGAACGGUGAUGAUAAGUGACAAGGCUUUGAACGAUGAAUUUGCUAUUCUACGAACAAUCCAUGUUAAAUUUUUUAUGAUUGAGCUGUUGUUUGUUAUGUAACAUUGAGCUUUCAUUUGCUGUUUGUUAUGAACCAGAGUCCAAGAUCGUUGUUUGUUAUGUCGACUUGUUUGAACAGCAAUUCUUUUUGUUGAUUUAUUGUGCCAUUUGGCCAACUGCUUUGGAGAGUGUGGGCUCGAUGGUCCUCACUGAGUGCUUCCAG
rnacentral:rRNA from 1 species